CCUACGGGAGGCAGCAGUGGGGAAUAUUGCACAAUGGGGGAAACCCUGAUGCAGCGACGCCGCGUGGAGGAAGAAGGUCUUCGGAUUGUAAACUCCUGUUGUUGAGGAAGAUAAUGACGGUACUCGACAAGGAAGUGACGGCUAACUACGUGCCAGCAGC
rnacentral:rRNA from 1 species